GAUGAAGAACGCAGCGAAAUGCGAUAAGUAGUGUGAAUUGCAGAAUUCAGUGAAUCAUCGAAUCUUUGAACGCACAUUGCGCCCUUUGGUAUUCCAAAGGGCAUGCCUGUUCGAGCGUCAUUUGUACCCUCAAGCUUUGCUUGGUGUUGGGCGUCUUGUCUCUAGCUUUGCUGGAGACUCGCCUUAAAGUAAUUGGCAGCCGGCCUACUGGUUUCGGAGCGCAGCACAAGUCGCACUCUCUAUCAGCAAUGGUCUAGCAUCCAUUAAGCCUUUUUUUCAACUUUUGACCUCGGAUCAGGUAGGGAUACCCGCUGAACUUAAGCAUAUCAAUAAGCGGAGGA
rnacentral:misc_RNA from 1 species